rnacentral:lncRNA from 1 species
CUUUGACCAAGAAGAUCUCAGGACACCAAGCCCCAGGUCCAGAAAGCUCAGAGACUACCAAGCAGGAUAAAUGCCAAAACAAAACUACAAUUGGGCGUAUCGUUUCCAAACUACAGAAAAUCAGAUAGGCAAAAAGUGUGAAAGACGUCACAGGAAAAAAAAAAAGACCUUACCUAUGGAGGAAAGAAGAUAAGAAUUACAUCUGACUUCUCCUCAGAUAAGCGAAGAUAAGAAUUACAUCUGACUUUCUCCUCAGAAACCAUGGAAGUAAGAAGAGAGUGGAGUGAAAUUUUUAAAAUUAAAACAUUGAAAAUGUUGAGAGAAAACAGCAACAUGGAAUUCUGUACCCUUCAAAAUUAGCCUUCAAAAAUAAAAGGGAUAUAAAGACUUUCUCAAAUAAAAAUUGAGGGAAUUCGUUGUCAGCAGAUUUGUUGCUCAU